CUAGCCCAAAGCUGUCGCCAUGGCAACUGACUGAGACGGUUUCUGUUUCGGCAACGCGCGCGCGCGCGUUGUUGCCGCCGCUGCUUGACGAUUUUGUUGUACCACAGGCAAAACAGGUUAAGUGCAACGAACAUCACUCGUGCGUAGUUUGAUGAGCCUGCGUGGCUUCAUCGAUUGAGCCCUGAUGUAUGAAAUGCUAUCCGGUUCCAAGGACGAAUUGUCGGUUCGAUUGCGAAAACCCAGAGGUCGUGACCGACCUCUCCGGCGCACGAACUCGUUCGAAAGCGGCGUCACAAGGUGUGCUACCCAAAUACGAGCCUGAAACAACCAUGCAGAUUCACAUCAUCUGCCUGCCUUGGGAUCCUGGAAUUUGACUGGUCGGGUUUGACUAAGAAAAAGCAGCCUGCUACGCUACCACUAGAGCCACAGCGUACUGUUCAGGCUUGUCGACACACGGAGGCCGUCCACCACACAGUCUGUCCUCCCGCCGCUUGACCACCUUCAUGCUCAUGCAACCGCACCACACCCCCGGCCCUAGCGGGUCCCUAAUGUCCUGCGACGUCCACUGCCCAUGACGGACGUGUCUCGGGGAACCCGUCGCCGAUUCCCCACGUUCAACCGCGGAGCUACAGCCGUGCAGUGACGGCAGCAUCUGUCCAAUCGUUUAUAGGGUUUUCUUCAAAAAUUAUUAUAAGAAACUCUGGCACUAGGGUCUACGGGGGCUGUAAGUACGGCGAUUCAGCCAGCGUGGGAGUUACGAGUAUAGUACACGAAUUUGUCUAAAAAUUUGUCCUUCUGGCUUCAAACAGCUCGGAUAACAUUUUUUUUUUUUUUUUUUGCGUCAGCAGACGAGUACAGAUGGAAGACGUUGACAAACUGAAGACGUUGUCCUCGUCCGCUGGUGCUAAAAAUGUUAUCCAAGUUAGAGGUGCCAACAUGCAUCAACAUAUAGAGUAGUCAAACGGCUUUGCGACUUCGAAAAUUGGUCAUUUCCGCCGAAAUAAAGCGUUACAAAUGCAACAAUUCGCAGCGUUUAUGCAUAUGCGCAGACGCUUGUUGGUUCGCUGUGCUUAGAGAACUCUGGAAAUUUAGGAGGAUAAGGAGUGAUAAGUAAGCCACAAGAGCGUAUCAAGUCACAAGCACGAAUAUUAGACAAAUCCAUAUGUAAUAGCCAUCAUCCCCUGGUUACAGUACACUGGUAACUGAAGGAUAUAUCAAUGCACGAGUUCUCUGUUGUGAUUAUUGUAGUAAAUUUUACGCAAGCAUUGAUUCGCUUGCUCAUUGCCUACACACCAGGCACGCUAUCAGUGCACAUAUGACGGAAGAGCUUGCCUUUUAAUCGAGCCUCUUUUAGUCAGGUUGCAUUGUACUCAGUUCUCACUACAUUUGAAGGGGUGCGUUACAUUUUCGAAUCUCCUUGUAAUAAGCUGUGUCGUACUUUAACUUUACGAGUUGUCUAUACGCCACAAUUACCACAACUCAGUGCGUGGGCUUAGAGAAAACGACAGAUUCGUGAAAAAAAGAUAGAGAGAGAGAAAAGGUCGCUGCGUCUCAUAGUAAUAUACGUGUAUACAUCUGUUCGACUCAAUGUAUCCCUCCUUGCAGAAGCCGUAAAACCCACAAUUCUUCCCACACCUCUGUCCUUCCGUCAAUACUGAAAACAAGCGCUAAGCAUUCGCUGCUACAGACAUUAUUUCGUCUUGACGCAGGGCACUGUCGUCUACAAUUGUCGCGAGCUAUGUAACUGUGUUUCCACUUACAGGGAAAGGAAAAAAUAAUAAUGAAGCGCAUCAUCUAUGUCUAUGCUUGUAUGUCUGGGUUGUAUAUUCACACUCGAGAAUGCUUUUGCUCUCAUAUUCAAGAAUUUUUACGCCCCCGAAUUUAUUGAGUUCUUCACUAUAUGCUAUCGAGGAAAAGCCGGUGGAGUCGAAAGUCGUGUAGAUCGCCGGCGGAGCGAUCCAUGGCACACCACCUCCUCAGCCCCGGCUAGCUACCUUGCCUCUUUCCGCUAGUUCAAAAUUCUGCGAUGUCAUUGUCCUUGCAUACAUUUUGGCUUGAAGUGCGGCGAAGCAUAUUUAACCGUUACCGUGCGCUUUCCCUCCACCCCCUAGUUUUGUUUUAUUUUCUCAAGCACUUCCGGGGUUCUUUAUUAAAGGCAAUCACCCCAAGCAACACUGUCGUGUUCGCUUAUGCGCAUGUAUCACCGCUUCGACUAUAUAUCCCAGGUGCUAUCCUCUCGAGGCACUUCGCUUCGCUUCGUCUCGUCCCUCGCGCGACGUUCACGUGCACACAACUCCGAGAGAGACGUGAAUUCUCAGGAAUCUGCCAUAUCCAAGGGUGCGUGUCUCCGCUGCUCCGGCAAUCACGGAAAGCAGCGGUCGACCACCCCGACCUGUAGCGUUGAGCCGAUAGAAACAAACAGUUAGAGUGCGGCUUUCUGUGGCUUGUGUAUAACUGUGAGGCUUUCGUCUGCGUUUUUUCUUUCUUUUUUUUCGCAUUUCGUAUACAUUCGUGAGCGUGUGUGCGGUGUGAGUGAGCGAGUAGGUGAACCAGUGCAAAACUUCGGGAACACCCCGGCAGCUAAGUUGAAAAUCCCGCGCUUUCCUUACCGCAUUGCCACGUGCCAGCACCUUUGACUGCAACUAGACAAGAUAGUUUGCACCUACUUCAUCGCGGACGCCAUCUUUGGGUACUAGCAGAUACCCGCCCGGCGCAAGCAAGAAACCUGACAGCAUGACAGGGGCGUCUUUCGUCGAACGUCAAAGCGAUAACAGUGAUAAACCGGUGAAAAACAGUCGCCGUCAAAAAAAAAAAAAAAAAAAAAAAGAAUCUGUCGCCGUCAAAAAAAAAAGAAAAAAAAAAGAAGAAAAGAAACAGUGUGCGCGUGAUAAUACGGUGCACUGAUGUCAUCGUAGCCGCCAUGUUUAGGUACUAGAGCGUUGAGAACUGCUUCCGUGACGUCACAUGAAAACUAUUCAUGGACGUAGAGCUGUAACCUUGGCCCCCCGCUGACGUCAAAGGGCCUAGACAUAUGCCGUGGAAGCGCGCUAAAAUUGACCGAAGUGUGGAAAGUAGCCAGCUGGCGCGCGGUUACGUUCCGCUAGAGUUGCUGUAUGUGCUCCUCUAUACAGGAGUUCUACGUUCCGCCAUCCGUUCCGCUGCGUUACGCUUUCAGUAGUGACAGGCUAUCGUGUGACGCUUUGCGUUUCGCAUUGUGCAGUGGCGCGCCCUUGCGUAACGCUUUGCGACGGAGUGUGACAUGCAUGCUCUCGCAUCUCCUCGACGAAGCCAUAGGAUGCCCACACGGCUGAGGGAGAGAUAGAGUUAUAGGAACAAAAGAAAAUGCGCUUUUGUUAUCGUGAAGGUAGUAUGCCUUGUUUGCUGUUCUGCACAAGGGGAAGAGAAAAAAGCCCUGAUUGUAAGAAGAGUAGGGAGAGAAGAGCACGCGGAAUAGCGCAGGUGGAUAUGUGAAUGCUUCAAAGGCUGGUGUCGCUCGUCUGCUGCUCCGUAUUUUCGAAAAUUCUUGCCAGACAGUAUCCAGGGUAGUGCUCCGUGGUUACUACUCGAAAGCAAGAGCUUACGACCGGGUUGAAGAGAUUUAAACCAGUGGACGUGGUUCAGGCCCUUAUCACAAUGCAACAUACGUCAAGCUUUUGAAUUUAGUCGACGUUUUCCCAAGCACCAAGAAUCACCGAGCUGAGGCACCUCAUUGAGUGUGCUUGCUCGCUUCAGGUCUUCAGUACAGGAACAUUAGUGUUUGUGUUGUACGGCUUACAUAUCGCGUACGAAGGUCCGUGGACCCUGUACUGCAUGGUCGAGUCGCUUGUGAUGGGUGCACUGUACAUUUCCCAAUCGCACCCGCAACUCUAGCGUCGCAGGAUUCGACGUGUCGUUUAUGUAACCGGAACGUUGACCUCUUUGUUCGUGGGCAUCUUAUCGCGUGCCGUAUUGCGCGGCUAUAAACAUAUCUGUCUGUAUCCCUGCCCUUUGGAUAAUUGCUGCCCUGUGCGAACGUGUAGGCGGUGGCGAUGAGUCGCUUCAUUUCACAUGUCUAUCGCAAGCAUGCACCCUGCUUUCGAACGAUACACAUGUCACGUAUUCACCUUGAGCGCCUUUGUAUACAAUCACAGCGAUUGUCACGGGCUCUAUAUAUCAAGCCUCUACACAGCUGCCGUGCCUAGUCAAAGUUUUACGAGCUAGCGAGAAUCACGCAAAGCCUACAAUCGUCAUGCCGUGGUUGUGCCGCGAGUCUUUGCUAUAUAGCCUCUUCUCCACAAUAAAUGUUUUUGCAACAUUCGACGCUGUAUACACCACUGCAUCCUUCAACCAAGUACCAUCGUUUCCUAAACAUUUUAUCGCAGCUCGGGCUCCUGAAGGGACAUCAUGUGUGCAGGGUGUCACGAACAAAGGUCAGAGCGUAUAACGAAGAGAAAUUACACAAGAUCUCAAUAAGAGAGCUCUGGCGCUUGUUCUAGAGUUUCUUGGGAACUGUCUCAAGUAGCUUUCUCAUGGCAUAUAUCUAUCACAAGGAACUUGGAAACAUAAUAAGGUCCUUAUUGAAUUCUUCCGUGCAUGCAGUUUCUGCCCACUUAUUUGGUUGAUAUAGAUGAUGCACGUGAUGUUCCCCUCACAUGAACGAACUAGGACCUUCAACGCUAGCAUUAGUUUUAUUCACACAACUCAUUUUGUGACGUGAUAGAUGUGACCCGUUUUGUUUAGAGCGGAAAUUUUCCAGGUAGAAAAAAAGUGUAAGAGUCUUGCAUCAUGGUCCUAGGAAACAAUAGCUGAUAUGUCUAUCUCUUUACGCAAGAUGCAAAUGAUUUUACAGCGUCUAUAACUGUAGUACUUUUCUUAGCUCUUUCCAGCGAAGCGCACACAAUCGGCGAGCCCAAGCUGCAAUGAGAGGCGUGGUCUUCGUCACUGAAGAAAGAAUGAAACAGAGCUAUCGGAUCAGUUCACCUUUUUUCCCCACUAAUUUUACAAAGCCUCCAGCCCUGUAAACGAGCAAAGUGUGUGAUUCAAAAUCCUUCACCCGUAUCUUCGUCACUUUUCCAUACACGUACAUUCAAGACGUUGCCGAUGAUAACGCUGCUAAAUAAGGCCCCUCGCACUUGACGUGUACUCUGUCACGCAUCAGCCUCAACUUCCACAUCUUUCAACUACUUUGUCAGUCCUCUUACAACGCGAGAUAAAGGCAUAGGCUGUGCGGGCCAUCUGUGAUAACGCACCUUCAAUGCCUGAAAUGCUUCAGUAAUUGUGCGAGCUGCUGCAACCGAACGCUUUUGUUUAGCAACUGUUCGGCGUACACGUGACUUCUAUGGAAAAGUCUAGUGGCAGCCCUUGUCAGGUAAACAGGCCAUCCGUCCACAAACAGAAGAUUCGAUCAGUGCGGUGCGCCAGCCGCCACCCACUUCGAGUCGAUAUAACCUAUAUAACUCCACGUGUGUUCACCGAAUGACGAGAAAGUGCAGUGAUAGCUAGACCAUCGUCGGUUUGCUGUUUGUUCCUUUAUAUCUAACAUUUGCACAACGCCUUCUCGAGCGAUAAGACGUAUGUAUACACUCUCCACCAAUAUGAAAGGGAACACUUCAUCUGUGUUCAAAGAGCGAUCCUUGUAAACAUAAAACAAAGCGUGUGCCGGUCAGAAUCUCACUGAUAUUUGUUAUGUUGAUCACCUGCUGAAGAUUACGAAAUGUUUCCUCAUCACAAGCACACACAAGGAAAAUUAAAGUCUGUGAACACAAAUCCUAAUAAUUUUCAAAUUGGCGCAGUGCUUCGGCUCUCAGCUAUAUACGCUGCUUUCAACUCUGUCCCACAGAAUACUCUUACGAUGACAUAUUAAGACAAUGUAGAAAUAAACAAACAAGAAAGACAAUAAAAUAAACGGAAUUGUUUCGGUUUGACUUGCCUAAUAACAAGCAAUGAAGUGGACAAAAGGGGCAAGGGAGAAUUGGGCUUCGUUCUUUCCUUGCCUUGUCAUCUGUUUAUUUCUUCCUGUGCCGCCCUCUUUUCUUUACUGCGUGAUUCUGAAUAGCAGUUGGAUCCCGUGGUCGGGAUGUUCACUUAACAUAGAUCGGAAUAAACUUUGUGCUGGCUAAGGGUCUUGAUGUAAGCGGUAUUUCGAUAUAAAAGUGGUUGUGUGAGGAUUUAUGUUUUCGUUUCGCCGUCCGUGUGAAACGUUUGAAAGAGGAAAAGAAAAUGCUCAGUUAAAAAAAAAAAAGAAAUAUUUAAACAAACUUGAAGCAAAGGAAAAAAAAAAAAAAACUCGAUGGGUCGGAUUCGUUUGCGCUGAAAGCCAGAUUUGAACCGCUUCUACUAACGAACGUCCAUUUGCGAUUUAGGACACAACAUUAUGAGUGACUUCGCGAUACGAUGUGUUUCUUGAAAAUCUGAGGACACGGCAGAAAUACUGUUCGGCGUUCUUACUACGUUGUUGCAAUUCGAUGAAUUAAUUGUUGCAGUACUUACAUAUGUGUCACGUGUGUUCAAUUGCGGUGGUGAAUGUGCUAUCAACUUAACGGAAAUAAAACGGCGUGAAUAAGAAUGUGAAGUAUUUUGUGUGUCUCGACCUACAUUAUUACCGGUGCUAUGAUACCUGACGGACGAAUUGCAAAAUUGUUUUUC